rnacentral:rRNA from 1 species
UAGGGAGUGGGAGAGGUAGACGGUACUCGGGAGGAAGUGGUAAAAUGCUUUGAUCUCUCGAUGACCACCUGUGGCGAAGGCGGUCUACCAGAACACGUCCGACGGUGAGGGAUGAAAGCUGGGGGAGCAAACCGGAUUAGAUACCCGGGUAGUCCCAGCUGUAAACUAUGCAAACUCAGUGAUGCAUUGGCUUGUGGCCAAUGCAGUGUUGCAGGGAAGCCGUUAAGUUUGCCGCCUGGGAAGUACGUACGCAAGUAUGAAACUUAAAGGAAUUGGCGGGGGAGCACCACAAGGGGUGAAGCCUGCGGUUCAAUUGGAGUCAACGCCAGAAAUCUUACCCGGAGAGACAGCAGAAUGAAGGUCAAGCUGAAGACUUUACCAGACAAGCUGAGAGGUGGUGCAUGGCCGUCGCCAGCUCGUGCCGUGAGAUGUCCUGUUAAGUCAGGUAACGAGCGAGAUCCCUGCCUCUAGUUGCCACCAUUACUCUCAGGAGUAGUGGGGCGAAUUAGCGGGACCGCCGCAGUUAAUGCGGAGGAAGGAAGGGGCCACGGCAGGUCAGUAUGCCCCGAAAAU